rnacentral:rRNA from 1 species
UACGAAGGGGGGCGAGCGUUGUUCGGAUUUACUGGGCGUAAAGGGCGCGCAGGCGGCUCAUUUUGUCAGGCGUGAAAGCCCCGGGCUUAACCUGGGAACUGCGUUUGAUACGGAUGGGCUAGAGUUCGGGAGAGGAGAGUGGAAUUCCCAGUGUAGAGGUGAAAUUCGUAGAUAUUGGGAAGAACACCGGUGGCGAAGGCGGCUCACUGGCUCGUAUCUGACGCUCAGGCGCGACAGCGUGGGGAUCAAACAGG